CAACCUCAACUCAUAUGGGACUACCCCCUGAAUUUAAGCAUAUUAAUUAGGGGAGGAAAAGAAACUAACAAGGAUUUUCUUAGUAGCGGCGAGCGAAAAGAAAUCAGUUCAGCACUAAGUCACUUUGUCUAUAUGGCAAAUGUGAGAUGCAGUGUAUGGAGCGUCAAUAUUCUAGUAUGAGAAAUUAACGAUUUAAGUCCUUCUUAAAUGAGGCCAUUUACCCAUAGAGGGUGCCAGGCCCGUAUAACGUUAAUGAUUACUAGAUGAUGUUUCCAAAGAGUCGUGUUGCUUGAUGCUUGAUUAGUGCAGCACUAAGUGGGUGGUAAACUCCAUCUAAAACUAAAUAUAACCAUGAGACCGAUAGUAAACAAGUACCGUGAGGGAAAGUUGAAAAGAACUCUGAAUAGAGAGUUAAACAGUACGUGAAACUGCUUAGAGGUUAAGCCCGAUGAACCUGAAUAUCCGUUAUGGAAAAUUCAUCAUUAGAAUUGUAAUAUUUAAACAAUAUUAUGAUAAUAGUGUGCAUUUUUUCCAUAUAAGGACAUUGUAAUCUAUUAGCAUACCAAAUUUAUCAUAAAAUAUAACUUAUAGUUUAUUCAAAUUAAUUUGCUUGCAUUUUAACACAGAAUAAAUGUUAUUAAUUUGAUAAAGUGCUGAUAGAUUUAUAUGAAUACAGUGCGUUAAUUUUUCGGAAUUAUAUAAUGGCAUAAUUAUCAUUGAUUUUUGUGUUUAUUAUAUGCACUUGUAGGAUUAACAAUGCGAAAGAUUCAGGAUACCUUCGGGACCCGUCUUGAAACACGGACCAAGGAGUCUAACAUAUGUGCAAGUUAUUGGGAUAUAAACCUAAUAGCGUAAUUAACUUGACUAAUAAUGGGAUUAGUUUUUUAACUAUUUAUAGCUAAUUAACACAAUCCCGGGGCGUUCUAUAUAGUUAUGUAUAAUGAUAUUUAUAUUAUUUAUGCCUCUAACUGGAACGUACCUUGAGCAUAUAUGCUGUGACCCGAAAGAUGGUGAACUAUACUUGAUCAGGUUGAAGUCAGGGGAAACCCUGAUGGAAGACCGAAACAGUUCUGACGUGCAAAUCGAUUGUCAGAAUUGAGUAUAGGGGCGAAAGACCAAUCGAACCAUCUAGUAGCUGGUUCCUUCCGAAGUUUCCCUCAGGAUAGCUGGUGCAUUUUAAUAUUAUAUAAAAUAAUCUUAUCUGGUAAAGCGAAUGAUUAGAGGCCUUAGGGUCGAAACGAUCUUAACCUAUUCUCAAACUUUAAAUGGGUAAGAACCUUAACUUUCUUGAUAUGAAGUUCAAGGUUAUGAUAUAAUGUGCCCAGUGGGCCACUUUUGGUAAGCAGAACUGGCGCUGUGGGAUGAACCAAACGUAAUGUUACGGUGCCCAAAUUAACAACUCAUGCAGAUACCAUGAAAGGCGUUGGUUGCUUAAAACAGCAGGACGGUGAUCAUGGAAGUCGAAAUCCGCUAAGGAGUGUGUAACAACUCACCUGCCGAAGCAACUAGCCCUUAAAAUGGAUGGCGCUUAAGUUGUAUACCUAUACAUUACCGCUAAAGUAGAUGAUUUAUAUUACUUGUAAUAUAAAUUUUGAAACUUUAGUGAGUAGGAAGGUACAAUGGUAUGCGUAGAAGUGUUUGGCGUAAGCCUGCAUGGAGCUGCCAUUGGUACAGAUCUUGGUGGUAGUAGCAAAUAAUCGAAUGAGACCUUGGAGGACUGAAGUGGAGAAGGGUUUCGUGUGAACAGUGGUUGAUCACGAGUUAGUCGGUCCUAAGUUCAAGGCGAAAGCCGAAAAUUUUCAAGUAAAAUACAAAUGCCAAACAAAUAUAUAUAUUAUAUAAAAUCUAGCUAAAUUAAUAUACUUGAAUAAUUUUGAACGAAAGGGAAUACGGUUUCAAUUCCGUAACCUGUUGAGUAUCCGUUUGUUAUUAAAUAUGGGCCUCGUGCUCAUCCUGGCAACAGGAACGACCAUAAAGAAGCCGUCGAGAGAUAUCGGAAGAGUUUUCUUUUCUGUUUUAUAGCCGUACUACCAUGGAAGUCUUUCGCAGAGAGAUAUGGUAGAUGGGCUAGAAGAGCAUGACAUAUACUGUUGUGUCGAUAUUUUCUCCUCGGACCUUGAAAAUUUAUGGUGGGGACACGCAAACUUCUCAACAGGCCGUACCAAUAUCCGCAGCUGGUCUCCAAGGUGAAGAGUCUCUAGUCGAUAGAAUAAUGUAGGUAAGGGAAGUCGGCAAAUUAGAUCCGUAACUUCGGGAUAAGGAUUGGCUCUGAAGAUUGAGAUAGUCGGGCUUGAUUGGGAAACAAUAACAUGGUUUAUGUGCUCGUUCUGGGUAAAUAGAGUUUCUAGCAUUUAUGUUAGUUACUUGUUCCCCGGAUAGUUUAGUUACGUAGCCAAUUGUGGAACUUUCUUGCUAAAAUUUUUAAGAAUACUAAUUGGGUUAAACCAAUUAGUUCUUAUUAAUUAUAACGAUUAUCAAUUAACAAUCAAUUCAGAACUGGCACGGACUUGGGGAAUCCGACUGUCUAAUUAAAACAAAGCAUUGUGAUGGCCCUAGCGGGUGUUGACACAAUGUGAUUUCUGCCCAGUGCUCUGAAUGUCAAAGUGAAGAAAUUCAAGUAAGCGCGGGUCAACGGCGGGAGUAACUAUGACUCUCUUAAGGUAGCCAAAUGCCUCGUCAUCUAAUUAGUGACGCGCAUGAAUGGAUUAACGAGAUUCCUACUGUCCCUAUCUACUAUCUAGCGAAACCACAGCCAAGGGAACGGGCUUGGAAUAAUUAGCGGGGAAAGAAGACCCUUUUGAGCUUGACUCUAAUCUGGCAGUGUAAGGAGACAUAAGAGGUGUAGAAUAAGUGGGAGAUAUUAGACCUCGGUUUGGUAUCGCCAAUGAAAUACCACUACUCUUAUUGUUUCCUUACUUACUUGAUUAAAUGGAACGUGUAUCAUUUCCUAGCCAUUAUACGGAUAUAUUUAUUAUAUCUUAUGGUAUUGGGUUUUGAUGCAAGCUUCUUGAUCAAAGUAUCACGAGUUUGUUAUAUAAUCGCAAACAAAUUCUUUAAUAAAACGGUGCAUUUAUGUAUUUUUGAUUUGAAAAUUUGGUAUAACUCCAAUUACUCAGGUAUGAUCCAAUUCAAGGACAUUGCCAGGUAGGGAGUUUGACUGGGGCGGUACAUCUCUCAAAUAAUAACGGAGGUGUCCCAAGGCCAGCUCAGUGCGGACAGAAACCACACAUAGAGCAAAAGGGCAAAUGCUGACUUGAUCUCGGUGUUCAGUACACACAGGGACAGCAAAAGCUCGGCCUAUCGAUCCUUUUGGUUUAAAGAGUUUUUAACAAGAGGUGUCAGAAAAGUUACCAUAGGGAUAACUGGCUUGUGGCGGCCAAGCGUUCAUAGCGACGUCGCUUUUUGAUCCUUCGAUGUCGGCUCUUCCUAUCAUUGUGAAGCAAAAUUCACCAAGCGUUGGAUUGUUCACCCAUGCAAGGGAACGUGAGCUGGGUUUAGACCGUCGUGAGACAGGUUAGUUUUACCCUACUAAUGACAAAACGUUGUUGCGACAGCAUUCCUGCGUAGUACGAGAGGAACCGCAGGUACGGACCAAUGGCACAAUACUUGUGAGCUGGGUUUAGACCGUCGUGAGACAGGUUAGUUUUACCCUACUAAUGACAAAACGUUGUUGCGACAGCAUUCCUGCGUAGUACGAGAGGAACCGCAGGUACGGACCAAUGGCACAAUACUUGUUCGAGCGAACAGUGGUAUGACGCUACGUCCGUUGGAUUAUGCCUGAACGCCUCUAAGGUCGUAUCCGUGCUGGACUGCAAUGAUAAAUAAGGGGCAAUUUGCAUUGUAUGGCUUCUAAACCAUUUAAAGUUUAUAAUUUACUUUUUAAACGACAAUGGAUGUGAUGCCAAUGUAAUUUGUAACAUAGUGAAUUGGGAGGAUCUUUGAUCACCUGAUGCCGCGCUAGUUACAUAUAAAAGCAUUAUUUAAUACAAUGACAAAGCCUAGAAUCAAUUGUAAACGACUUUUGUAACAGGCAAGGUGUUGUAAGUGGUUGAGCAGCUGCCAUACUGCGAUCCACUGAAGCUUAUCCUUUGCUUGAUGAUUCGA